CCUACGGGAGGCAGCAGUGGGGAAUAUUGGACAAUGGGGGCGAGCCUGAUCCAGCCAUGCCGCGUGCCUGAAGAAGGCCUUCCGGUUGGAAAUGAACUUUCAUGGGGGAAGAAAAGUGUGCAG
rnacentral:rRNA from 1 species